rnacentral:rRNA from 1 species
AUACGGAGGAUGCAAGCGUUAUCCGGAUUUAUUGGGUUUAAAGGGUGCGUAGGCGGUUUGCUAAGCGGGAGGUGAAAUGCCGGCGCUCAACGUCGGAAGUGCCUCCCGAACUGGUGGACUGGAAUGACUCUGCCGUGGGAGGAAUGUGUAGUGUAGCGGUGAAAUGCUUAGAGAUUACACAGAACACCGAUUGCGAAGGCAUCUCACGAAAGGGUGAUUGACGCUGAGGCACGAAAGCGUGGGGAUCAAACAGGAUUAGAUACCCUGGUAGUCCACGCAGGAAACGAUGAUGGCUAACCGCUGGUUUAUUCGGAUCAGUGGCCAAGCGAAAGCGAUAAGCCAUCCACCUGGGGAGUACGACCGCAAGGUUGAAACUCAAAUGAAUUGGCGGGG